rnacentral:rRNA from 1 species
UUGGAGGGCAAGUCUGGUGCCAGCAGCCGCGGUAAUUCCAGCUCCAAUAGCGUAUAUUAAAGUUGUUGCAGUUAAAAAGCUCGUAGUUGAAUUUCGGGAUCAAUUUAUCGGUCGUGCCUACGGUAUGAACUGGUACAAUUGGUUUCUCCCUUCUGACGAAGCAUGAUGUCAUUAAUUUGGUGUCGUGGGGAAUCAGGACUGUUACUUUGAAAAAAUUAGAGUGUUUAAAGCAAGCAUUAGCUUGAAUACAUUAGCAUGGAAUAAUGAAAUAGGACGUUUGAUCCUAUUUCGUUGGUUUCUAGGAUCGACGUAAUGAUUAAUAGGGAUAGUUGGGGGCAUUAGUAUUCAAUUGUCAGAGGUGAAAUUCUUGGAUUUAUUGAAGACUAACUACUGCGAAAGCAUUUGCCAAGGAUGUUUUCAUUAAUCAAGAACGAAAGUUAGGGGAUCGAAGACGAUCAGAUACCGUCGUAGUCUUAACCAUAAACUAUGCCGACUAGGGAUCGGAUGAUGUUAAUUUUUUAAUGACUCAUUCGGGGCCUUACGGGAAAC